GACGAACGCUGGCGGCGUGCCUAAUACAUGCAAGUUGAGCGAUGAGAUUGGUGCUUGCCCCAAUUUGAAGAGCAGCGAAAGGGUGAGUAAAGCGUGGGGAAUCUGCCUUUGAGCGGGGGACAACAUUUGGAAACGAAUGCUAAUACCGCAUAAUAACUUUAAACAUAAGUUUUAAGUUUGAAAGAUGCAAUUGCAUCACUCAAAGAUGAUCCCGCGUUGUAUUAGCUAGUUGGUGAGGUAAAGGCUCACCAAGGCGAUGAUACAUAGCCGACCUGAGAGGGUGAUCGGCCACAUUGGGACUGAGACACGGCCCAAACUCCUACGGGAGGCAGCAGUAGGGAAUCUUCGGCAAUGGACGAAAGUCUGACCGAGCAACGCCGCGUGAGUGAAGAAGGUUUUCGGAUCGUAAAACUCUGUUGGUAGAGAAGAACGUUGGUGAGAGUAGAAAGCUCAUCAAGUGACGGUAACUACCCAGAAAGGGACGGCUAACUACGUG
rnacentral:rRNA from 1 species